rnacentral:sRNA from 1 species
ACUGGGUGUGGUGGUGCAUGCCUGUAAUCCCAGUAGCUUGGGAGGCUGAGGCAGGGGGAUCACAAGCUCAAAGCCAGCCUCAGUAAUGGCAAGGCGCUAAGCAACUCAGUGAGACCCUGUCUAAA